CAAUUCAUAACUAUUCUUUGUCUUAACAUUUGCUGUUAUACAGUGGCCAUUUUGAGAGUAAACUUAUGCUGGAAUAUAGGAAAUUACUAUUUUAAAGUAAGUUCCAAAGUGGUGUGCGGUGUGUUAGACUGGAGCCCUGCAAGCAUGAUAUUCACUUCUCUUUUCCUUUAAGGGCAGCAAUUUUAAAUCCUGACAAAACAGCGUUGCUUAUACAAGAUAUCUUCAGUAAGCACUUGUCAGCGUUUCUUAUGUUCCUGAAUAUCUUGUAGGAUAACCACCAUUUCAUCUUCACGUAUAAAAUUAAAAUACAGAAAAUAUUAAAAAGGAAAAAUUGAAAGAUGUUUGUGACGGUCCCUGUUCUUAGUUCUGCAUGUUGUUAGCCUGUAGCUUCUCAGGCAAUCCUAUCUGAAAGCAACAUUCUGAUUGCAUCAUAAUGAGGAUCAUAAGCUUGACUGAUGAGUAUUAACUUCUGAGCCUGUGUAGUAAAAGCUGGCUACUAAGCCCACAGGCAAAGCACCAAAUCCUCACCCAUGAUCACUUUCUCAGAAAAACAAAGUCUAUUGGGCAAGGCUUCAAAGGGCAAGGCUUCACGUCUUAAAGGUUCCACAGUCUUCUAAAACAGCACCCUAGUUAAAGACCAGUUCUUCAAACACAUGAAGCUAUGGGAGGAACACUGAGAAACAUUCUCUUCAGAUAACUUGUGAUGCACACCAAAUGAUGCUGGCGGCUCACUGGUCAUCUGUGACUUCAGACUUCUGUCUUCAUGGACCACAUGUCAACCCUCACUGGGCCUAUUGAGGGCCUAAUUUGUCUGGCAGGGGGAGGAAGUCCUCCUCCCCCAGUUAUCUCUAAAGCACUCGUCUCUCAGGGAUCAGCCAGCAAAACAGAACAAACAACAGGUGCAUAAUAAGAGAUUUACCUCAAGGAAUUGGCUAGUGUAGAAUUGGACCUUAUAAUCUUCUCUAACAUUGCCCAGCUGUACUCCUUAGUUAUAGGUAAAAAUAAAACUCCGCAGUACCUACAUCAGUGUUUGAUGAAUAACCAGGAACUAUAAUGUCCCCUGGGUGACACAUAAAACUCACCAUGGGAGUUGGUGUUCUUACAGGGAACUAGUCCUUUCUUUUGAAAAUGGGAAACAUCUUAACUCUAGGGUUCACCUUGGAAACUCAUUUGAUUUCCAUGCAUACCACCCUGAUUCUUGCUGUGAGAGAGCAAUGAACCUCGGUAGAGUCUCCUUGAUAUCCUAACUCUUCCUCCCCUUGCUCUCUAAGUGAGCUUUCAGGGUCUCUCUCAGCCUCUCUGGUUGUCAUCCGUAGCAUGCCUAGGCUUCUCACCUCACCU
rnacentral:sRNA from 1 species